UACGGAGGAUCCGAGCGUUAUCCGGAUUUAUUGGGUUUAAAGGGUGCGUAGGCGGACUAGUAAGUCAGUGGUGAAAUCCUGCAGCUUAACUGUAGAAUUGCCGUUGAUACUGUUAGUCUUGAGUACAUUUGAGGUAGGCGGAAUGUGGUGUGUAGCGGUGAAAUGCAUAGAUAUACCACAGAACACCGAUUGCGAAGGCAGCUUACUAAACUGUAACUGACGCUGAAGCACGAAAGCGUGGGUAUCAAACAGGAUUAGAUA
rnacentral:rRNA from 1 species